rnacentral:lncRNA from 1 species
UUAAACCCUAAACUGAACUUUUCCAUCCAGUCAGCAUUAGGGUUUUAUACCCUAAACUGAACUUUUUCUUUCAGUCAGCAUUAGGGUUUUAAACCCUAAACUGAACUUUUCCUUUAAUCUGCAUUAGGGUUUUAAACCCUAAACUAAACUUUUCCUUUCAGUCAGCAUUAGGGUUUUAAACCCUAAACUGAACUUUUCCUUUCAGUCAGCAUUAGGGUUUUAAACCCUAAACUGAACCUUCCCAGCCAGUCAGCAUUAAGGUUUUAAACCCUAAACUGAACUUUUUCCUUUAAUCAGCCUUAGGGUUUUAAACCCUAAACUAAACUUUUCCUUUAGUCAGCAUUAGGGCCCCGACCCUAAACUGAACUUUUCCCCAGUUGGUCAGUAUUAGAGUUUCAACCUUUAAACUGAACUUCUCCCCAGCUAGUCGGUAUUAGGGCUCCAAACCU